CCAAUAGCGUAUAUUAAAGUUGUUGCAGUUAAAAAGCUCGUAGUUGAAUUUUAGGCCUGGCCGGAUGGUCCGUCUUUGGCGAGUACUGUUCUGUCGUCGGGUCUAUCCUUCUGGUGAGCCGGGAUGCCCUUUAUUGGGUGUGUCGGGGAACCAGGACCAUUACCUUGAAAAAAUUAGAGUGUUUAAAGCGGGCAUUUGCUUGAAUAGAUUAGCAUGGAAUAAUAGAAUAGGACGUUGGUUCUAUUUUGUUGGUUUUAGGACCACCGUAAUGAUUAAUAGGGAUAGUUGGGGGCAUUAGUAUUCAAUUGUCAUAGGUGAAAUUCUUGGAUUUAUUGAAGACUAACUAUUGCGAAAGCAUUUGCCAAGGAUGUUUUCAUUAAUCAAGAACGAAAGUUAGGGGAUCGAAGACGAUCAGAUACCGUCGUAGUCUUAACCAUAAACUAUGCCGACUAGGAAUCGGGCGACGUUAUUUCAUGACUCGCUCGGCGUCUUAUG
rnacentral:misc_RNA from 1 species